rnacentral:rRNA from 1 species
CUCGCCUGUAUGAAGAUGGAGUUGCUAGUAAUCGCGAAUCAGAAUGUCGCGGUGAAUACGUUCCCGGGUCUUGUACACACCGCCCGUCACACCAUGAGAGUUGGCAACACCCGAAACCUGUGGGCUAACCGAAAGGAGGCAGCAGUCUAAGGUGGGGUCAGUGAUUGGGGUGAAGUCGUAACAAGGUAUC